rnacentral:rRNA from 1 species
UGGGGAAUUUUGGACAAUGGGGGAAACCCUGAUCCAGCCAUCCCGCGUGUGCGAUGAAGGCCUUCGGGUUGUAAAGCACUUUUGGCAGGAAAGAAACGUCAUGGGUUAAUACCCCGUGAAACUGACGGUACCUGCAGAAUAAGCACCGGCUAACUACGUGCCAGCAGCCGCGGUAAUACGUAGGGUGCAAGCGUUAAUCGGAAUUACUGGGCGUAAAGCGUGCGCAGGCGGUUCGGAAAGAAAGAUGUGAAAUCCCAGAGCUCAACUUUGGAACUGCAUUUUUAACUGCCGGGCUGGAGUGUGUCAGAGGGAGGUGGAAUUCCGCGUGUAGCAGUGAAAUGCGUAGAUAUGCGGAGGAACACCGAUGGCGAAGGCAGCCUCCUGGGAUAACACUGACGCUCAUGCACGAAAGCGUGGGGAGCAAACAGG